CCNCCUGGGGAGUACGACCGCAAGGUUGAAACUCAAAGGAAUUGACGGGGGCCCGCACAAGCGGUGGAGUAUGUGGUUUAAUUCGACGCAACGCGAAGAACCUUACCAGGUCUUGACANUGAUGGACAGAACCAGAGANGGUUCCUNUUNUUCGGAAGCCAGAAAACAGGUGGUGCACGGUUGUCGUCAGCUCGUGUCGUGAGAUGUUGGGUUAAGUCCCGCAACGAGCGCAACCCCUAUNUUAUGUUGCCAGCACUUUGGGUGGGGACUCAUGAGAGACUGCCGCAGACAAUGCGGAGGAAGGCGGGGAUGACGUCAAAUCAUCAUGCCCCUUAUGACCUGGGCUACACACGUACUACAAUGGGAGUUAAUAGACGGAAGCGAGAUCGCGAGAUGGAGCAAACCCGAGAAACACUCUNUCAGUUCGGAUCGUAGGCUGCAACUCGCNUACG
rnacentral:rRNA from 1 species